CCUACGGGAGGCAGCAGUGGGGAAUUUUGCGCAAUGGGGGCAACCCUGACGCAGCAACGCCGCGUGAGUGAUGAAGGCCUUCGGGUCGUAAAGCUCUGUCAGAGGGGAAGAAAUGCAGGUGGUGAACAACCAUUCUGUUUGACGGUACCCUCAAAGGAAGCACCGGCUAACUCCGUGCCAGCAGCCGCGGUAAUACGGAGGGUGCGAGCGUUGUUCGGAAUUAUUGGGCGUAAAGCGCGUGUAGGCGGUUUGUUAAGUCUGAGGUGAAAGCCCCGGGCGAAACCGGGGAAGUGCAUUGGAUACUGGCAGACUUGAGUACGGGAGAGGAGAGUGAAAUUCCCAGUGUAGGAGUGAAAUCCGUAGAUAUUGGGAGGAACGCCGGUGGCGAGGGCGGUUCUCUGGACCGAUAAUGACGCUGAGACGCGAAAGCGGGGGGAGCAAACAGGAUUAGAUACCUUUGUAGU
rnacentral:rRNA from 1 species